GACGUAGGGCGCGAGCGUUGUCCGGAUUUAUUGGGCGUAAAGAGCUCGUAGGCGGCUUGUCGCGUCGACUGUGAAAUCCCGCGGCUCAACUCCGAGCUUGCAUUCGAUACGGGCAGGCUAGAGUUCGGUAGGGGAGACUGGAAUUCCUGGUGUAGCGGUGAAAUGCGCAGAUAUCAGGAGGAACACCGGUGGCGAAGGCGGGUCUCUGGGCCGAUACUGACGCUGAGGAGCGAAAGCGUGGGGGAGCGAACAGG
rnacentral:rRNA from 1 species